AGCGGAGUCGAGGACCCCGAAAAGCGGCUAAAUUUUGGGCUCAUAACCCAGAGGUCGCAGGUUCAAAUCCUGCCCCCGCUA
rnacentral:tRNA from 1 species